CGUUGCACUAUCGUUAACUGAAUACAUAGGUUAACGAGGCGAACCGGGGGAACUGAAACAUCUAAGUACCCCGAGGAAAAGAAAUCAACCGAGAUUCCCCCAGUAGCGGCGAGCGAACGGGGAGCAGCCCGGAGUCUGAAUCAGCUUGUGUGUUAGUGGAACGGUCUGGAAAGUCCGACGGUACAGGGUGAUAGUCCCGUACACGAAAGCACACAUGCUGUGAACUCGAAGAGUAGGGCGGGACACGUGGUAUCCUGUCUGAAUAUGGGGGGACCAUCCUCCAAGGCUAAAUACUCCUGACUGACCGAUAGUGAACCAGUACCGUGAGGGAAAGGCGAAAAGAACCCCGGCGAGGGGAGUGAAAAAGAACCUGAAACCGUGUACGUACAAGCAGUGGGAGCCUCUUUAUGGGGUGACUGCGUACCUUUUGUAUAAUGGGUCAGCGACUUAUAUUCUGUAGCAAGGUUAACCGUAUAGGGGAGCCGAAGGGAAACCGAGUCUUAACUGGGCGUUAAGUUGCAGGGUAUAGACCCGAAACCCGGUGAUCUAGCCAUGGGCAGGUUGAAGGUUGGGUAACACUAACUGGAGGACCGAACCGACUAAUGUUGAAAAAUUAGCGGAUGACCUGUGGCUGGGGGUGAAAGGCCAAUCAAACCGGGAGAUAGCUGGUUCUCCCCGAAAGCU
rnacentral:rRNA from 1 species